AAGCGGAGGAAAAGAAACUAACAAGGAUUCCCCUAGUAACGGCGAGUGAAGCGGGAAGAGCUCAAAUUUGAAAUCUGGUAGCCUUCGGUUGCCCGAGUUGUAAUCUAGAGAAGUGUUUUCCGCGUUGGCCCAUGUACAAGUCCCUUGGAACAGGGCGUCAUAGAGGGUGAGAAUCCCGUCCUUGACAUGGACCCCCAAUGCUUUGUGAUACACUUUCAACGAGUCGAGUUGUUUGGGAAUGCAGCUCAAAAUGGGUGGUGAAUUCCAUCUAAAGCUAAAUAUUGGCGAGAGACCGAUAGCGAACAAGUACCGUGAGGGAAAGAUGAAAAGCACUUUGGAAAGAGAGUUAAACAGUACGUGAAAUUGUUGAAAGGGAAACGAUUGAAGUCAGUCAUGCUCUUUGGAUUAAGCCGUUCUGCGGUGUAUUUCAUUGAGCGGGGUCAACAUCAGUUUUGAUCGCUGGAAAAGGGCAGGAGGAAGGUAGCACUCUCGGGUGAACUUAUAGCCUCUUGUCGUAUACAGUGAUUGGGACUGAGGAACGCAGCAUGCCUUUUGGCCGGGAUUCGUCCACGUACAUGCUUAGGAUGUUGACAUAAUGGCUUUAAA
rnacentral:rRNA from 1 species